rnacentral:rRNA from 1 species
AAUCAACGCUGGCGGCGUGCCUCAGACAUGCAAGUCGAACGCGAAAGUCCCCUUCGGGGGACAAGUAGAGUGGCGCACGGGUGAGUAACACGUAGGUAAUCUACCUUCGGAUGGGGAAUAACAACCGGAAACGGUUGCUAAUACCGCAUAAUGCAGCGGCACCUAAUGGUGACAGUUGUUAAAGCGGGGGAUCGAAAGACCUCGCGUCUGAAGAGGAGCCUGCGGCGGAUUAGCUAGUGGUAAGGUAAUGGCUUACCAAGGCGACGAUCCGUAGCCGGCCUGAGAGGGCGGUCGGCCACACUGACACUGACAUACGGGUCAGACUCCUACGGGAGGCAGCAGUCGGGAAUUUGGACAAUGGGGGCAACCCUGAUCCAGCCAUGCCGCGUGAGUGAAGAAGGCCU